rnacentral:misc_RNA from 1 species
AAAUUCAUAAAGCAAAAAAUUCAAAAAAAAAAUGUAUGUAAAUAGUACAUCCGAGGUAUCUACAAACAAAAACCUAUAACAAUAAAUAUGUUACUAAUGUUACAAAUGCUAAACCCAACAAUGAGGAGCGGACAAGAGAGGAAGCUGAAGCAAUCUGAAUGAUAAAAUUACAUGUCCCUUGUGAAAUAUUCUGUGAAGUAACCAUGGCCAAACCUUGAAAAUUACAGGCCAUGGGGUCCUGAUUCUGUACCUGGAAGUACAUAUUGAAUGCAUAUGAAGCAUUUCCAUUAGCAUCCAAGCCAUUACAAGAGGAGCCAUAUCCAAGCGCCGUGCAAUCUGAAAAAGUGCAAGCAUAAUCUAUGUUAUCUGCAAGCUUGCUAAGGUCCUUGGCAUUUGGAUUAAACAUACACCAUUUUGAUGGUUGAUAUUGCACAUUCUGUGCACUCACAGGAAACUUGUUCUGACCCUGACCAGUAAAAUCUAAUGCAAAUUUAGGCUGGCCAUCGUACCGAAAGAUUCCCCAAUGGCGCUCAAAAUUUCCAGGAGCUAUGCUUUUUGCAUCUUCAUCAAGAAGACCAAACAAGUAAACUUCUAUGUAUCCAGGUCGAAGCGGGGUGCCUCUACUGCUUGCAAGUCGCUGUAACAGCCCAUUGUAAAAUCUGUAAGCAUAGUUUAUAGUUGCACUCUUGUCCCCAUCAGUGGGCCAACCUACCUCCCCAACUAUGAUGGUCAUCUCUCCAAAUCCUACUGUUUUGAGGGCUGUGACCAAGGUGUCGAAGUUAGCAUCAAAAACAUUGGUGUACUGAAUCCCAGUGCUUUUGUCUACAAUGGGUUGUGAUGCUCCAUCAAAGAAAGCAUAGUUAAUAGGGAAGUUAUCAUUUCCAUAGAGACUUAGGAAAGGGUAAAUGUUCACUGUGAAAGGUGCAUUAUUCUUAUUCAGAAACUGAAUGAUCUGGCUCAUGAGGUCACUGAUAUCACUGCGGAAUCUUCCAGCGGAUGGAUAAGGCUGGUCAUCGGGUGAGUUGUAGACAUCAGCAUUCAGGGGUACAGUGGCCUUUAUAGAGUCUCCCACCCCAGCUUCAUUGAGGGCAUUUUGAAUGUUUUGAAGUGCUGGGAAGGUCAAGUUUAUGAAUGACCCAUUGUAGGAUGUGAGGAAAGGCUCAUUACCAACUGCAACAUACUUGAUGUUAACCCCUCCAUUGAAGUUGUAGAUUGAGACAUUCCUCUUGACCCAAUCCUUGGCACGAUUGUAAUCAUUCAUGGCAGCCAGUUGGUCAUUGGGUAUAGCCACCAUGACUUCAAUACCACUUCCAGCAAGUGCACUCAUGGUGUUUCGGUCUGCAUCAAAAAGCUUCACUUUUUGGAUCCCAUUGUCCUUUAACAUUUGCACCACUGUCUUUGGUGGUAAUUUGUGAGUAGCCUGGGUUCCCCAAUUAAUCCCCAGACCGUAAACACAAGUUCCCAAUAGGCCUAGAAGCAAAACCCAUCUAAGAAACCAAGAACCACCCAUUUUAGUGGAGAAUUUAGGGGGAAAGGGAAUUGCGCUAAAAGGAUGAUAAAGUUGUCAAAUGGAUUAUUUAUUGAUCAAAAUUCACCCCUUUUUCGUCUUCUCUCUUCUCUGCUAAGGGUGAGACUUGAGAGUUGUGUCAGAGAGGUUUAUGAGAAAGAGAGGGAAAGCAAUGGCUUUUGGCAUGUGGGUACGCAGAAAGAGCGAAAAAUAUGCGAUUUAAUCCCACGGAAUUGAUAUUUUGAGAUCGAGAUGUGCGCUGUUAUGAGAUAGACUGAGAGAGAGCAGAAGAAUCUCAAUGAAUAUCCAAAAGGUAUUAAAAAAAAUAAAAAAGCAGAGGAGAGAGAAAUUUAUACUUAUGGUGGUGUAUGGAGAACCAACAAGGACCACUGCCGAGAAACAGCCCUUGGGAUAGAGAAAGCAGUUAAGGAAGAAACAUUAACGGAGAAACGAAAACAGAACAGAACAGAACAGAACAAAUCAAGAUAAAACCGAAAGAAUGAUGGCAACUGAACUUAUUAACAAAAAAAUGAAUACUAAAGACGGUGGAAGUAACCGAUUUUGGAAAAUGCGUUUUGAAUCAAACUUGAAAAGUGGAAAAAGAUCACGAGUUUGAAAAAACAGGGGAUUUACGUAGAGUUACACGGAAAAAAACAGAGAAAUGUUCGUCAGAAGCCCCCAGAAGAAGACCAGAACCAUGUGUUUUGUACGUGGAUUCUAUUAAAAGAGAAUAGGAAAAAAUUUUCAAAUCAAAUGCUGAUUAAAACAAAUACAAAAUGGACAACAAAGAGAGAAUUUUUGACAGUGAAAAUGUGAAAAAAAAAGGGCAAUGAGGAAACGACAACGAAACCAAAAAGAAGCCUGAAAUUGUGAGAUGGGUUUUUGUGUCAAUUCAGAGAUUUCAGAGAACUCUUAACGGCUAGAAUUUGAGAAAUUCAUAGCUAAAAAAGAAAAGGGUUUAAGCUUAGAAAAGGUUUACAUAUUGCUAAUCCUCGGAAAUGAAAGAACAUAUAUAUGACACGAAACACACAGAAAGCUUAGGCAACAAAGCAAUCUUAGAUAAAAAUACGAAGUUACAAAGAAAGAGAAGGAGGGUUUGAGAAAGUUCUUUUCUUUGAUAUUUGGGUUAUAGGAUUCAAAUCCUUUCUCUUAAUCUUCCUCUGCUUCUGUUCUUCAUUUUCUUUAAUCUUUCUCUAGCAUUUGGAAAGU